CAGCAGCCACGGUAAUACGAAGGGGGCUAGCGUUGCUCGGAAUGACUGGGCGUAAAGGGCGCGUAGGCGGCGAUCAAAGUCAGGCGUGAAAUUCCUGGGCUCAACCUGGGGGCUGCGCUUGAUACUUGGUUGCUUGAGUGGGGAAGAGGGUCGUGGAAUUCCCAGUGUAGAGGUGAAAUUCGUAGAUAUUGGGAAGAACACCGGUGGCGAAGGCGGCGACCUGGUCCUUGACUGACGCUGAGGCGCGAAAGCGUGGGGAGCAAACAGGAUUAGAUACCCCGGUAGUCCCUGUCUCUUAUAC
rnacentral:rRNA from 1 species